rnacentral:miRNA from 1 species
UGAGCACAGCUAAACAUAUAAU